GCGGGUCCAGCCCGGCCGCGGGGAGAGGAGAGGCGGCGGCAGGUCUGGCCCGCCCGCCGAAAAGGACAGAGGUGGCGGCGGUCCAGCAGGCGGAACUCUUGGUGGCGGCGGCGGAACUCACCACCCGCCCAGAAGGCCAAAGGCGGCGUCGGCAGGCGGCACCACCGCGGAGGGCCCUCCCACCCAAAACCACCGCAGGAGGCGGGAGGCCCGGCCGGGAGGAGGCGGCGGGGGAGGGCGGAGAAGGCAACUAGCACCCGUUAUUUCAACGGGCUGAAAAAUACUAGUAGCUUUUAAAACUCCUGUUACCUUGCCACAAGCUUGUGCUUCCUUAUAAGCAUGCACCCUAGCUUUUCUCUUCUACAACCCGUUGCCACCUCCUUGCAUUCCCUUACAAGUUCAUACACCACUCCACCGCAGCCAUGGAAACAGAACUGGAAGUACACUUCCCAGACGUCCCCAUGUGCUUUCCCAACGACCCUGUGUGAAUCAUCAGCCCCGUGGCCUCUACUUCCUACAGAAGAGGCCUCCCAGCACCAGGAAUGUAAUGAACUGCACCAGAAAUGGCCACCGUGGAAGCAGCACCGGGGGGUGCUACAGAUUCAUGGGGAUCGUAGCACCCAAUGAACAAUCCUAGUAGCCAACAUUUGUUUUCUAGGGUUUAAGGGUCAGUUAGUAAACAGUUUUUUGUCUUUUCUUUCUUUCUUUCUUUCUUUUUGCUCAGCAACUCUACCAAGCAUGGUCAUCACGUGUAGGCUGAACAUGGAAGGUUUUGUGGGGUUUUUGUACUUUUCCAUUGGUAAAGAGAAGGAGAGUUGCUUGGAAUUUCACCCACACCAGGUGGGGAUUAAACUCUGUUAAAAAGUGGGUGUGGUGGCAGUGAUUGAGCUACUAAAGGAACAGUUUACGUUUAAAGGAACAGCCUUUGUUGGUGAAAGCAAGAGAGAAGAUGAUUCAGCAUUCUUCUUCCCUUCACGUGGGCUUGCUUUGAGACAAAGUCUGAGUUAAAUCCACUACACCUACCAAAUAAUAUAAUCAUGUGAGCUCAAACCACAAGGUAGAACUUCCUGAUGUUGAACACCAAAAACUUCGUAAAACUUUCAACUAAGAAAAAGUCACACACAUACCUCCUGCCUGAAAAAAUACAAUGAAAUGAAAUUAGUGGAUUCAGUAAUAGUGGCAGCAUAUUCCCACCUCAUGAUUAUUCAGCAGUGAAUGACACAAGAAGACGCAGCAUUUUGGACCAUCUUGUGGAUGACUUCAGGGAAGCCUUCAUGACCAACUCUACUUCCUGAGACCACCAUGUACAAUUCUCCAUGCCGUGAGUCUAAGGGUAUGAACAUGCAAGUGCAUCAGAGAGCCCCAAUAGAUGAGUGACACGAUAGGCAAUGAGAUGUCAUCAGUCGUAAAGUAACGGCCUGAAGCUUCGGUGUGCUUCCUAACACCUGCAACGCACGCAGAAUCUGAGCCACACAGACCUGGAAGAAGUCAUUUUUUAUUCAUUUAUAACCCAUUUACAUCUCCACAUUCAUUUAUAAUGCAAAAUGUUCAGAGAGAUUAAUUUUGUGAGAAAAACAAUAGUACCAAAUAGGCCUCUAAGUCAAACAUUUAAGACUAUAUACAGACGGCAACUUUGCCACUUGAUGGCUAUAAAAUUAAGGAUUACACUGGAAACUCAGGUAGGAGGUCUGGAAAAAUAAGAUACAAAGAUGCUAGGGUGGAGGUUGGGCAACAAUCGUGUAUAGUGAUUGGGCUAACAAGUAAUCAGUCAAUCAGCCACUAUAAGGAGGACCUAGUUGGGGCUUGUGGGCCUAUUGAGCACACAACACUAAAUAAACACUGUGUUUGGAAGCGCUGAUGCAGAAUUAUUUUAAGAAACAUUAUGUUUAAUAUAUAUCUACAUCUCCCAUAAACUUUAAUGGGGUGUGGAUUGUAGCUAUAAGGCAUAGUGCUAUUUUCCUGGUGUGUCCCAUGAUGAAAACUGAAAUUGCUAUAUAGAAUGCCACAAAACAAUAUCCUACAAAUUAAAUAACCUGUUUUCCAAUGUUAUAUUUAGUAAUUAAAAUUAGAUAAUCGGAUAUUCAUAUAAAGUGGUUACACUAAACUCUUUGCUGUCCACCUCAUUUUACCCCAGUGUUCUGGUAAAUGGUCCUAUCAUCCAUAAUUUGCCAAAUUAAAAAAGAAGCAAAUACUCCAACCUCUUCAGUUUCCUGAAGUCCCUCCCAUCCAACACACCCCUCCCUCUAGAAUCCCCCUGUCAUUCAGCAACUGAGAGAGGAUAUACACAGUUACAGAUUUGGUCUGAAGCAGACCUUAAUGCUGAAUGUUUAAGUCAUUACACAGAAACACAAGGAGUGUGAUUUUUCAGUACCUAAGCCACUGAUAAAGACCACCAUGGUCGAAAAGCAUUUGGCCUAAGACAUUAAAUUGGACAAGUACCUCCUUGCGCUGUGCCUUAUCACAAGACGACAAGCGACAAGUGGAACAGCUCACUCCAUACUAUAGACACAGAAGCUUCUUAACUCCUGUGCAACUUGGGACUCCCAUUGGAAUACCCUUUUGGGGCUUUUUUAUACAUACUUCAUAUGUUCAUAGACCUCUUUUUUAUAUAUACACUUGACGGGUGUAUAUAAAAACACUUGACGGGUGUUUUUUUUUUACUU